ACAAUAAGCAAAAUAAGGGCGUAUGGGGGAUGCCUAGGCUCUCAGAGGCGAAGAAGGACGUGAUAAGCUGCGAAAAGCUGCGGGGAUUGGCACAUACGAAUUGAUCCGCAGAUAUCCCAAUGGGGCAACCCACUAUGUUGAAGACAUAGUAUCCAAUAGGAGGCGAACCCGCUGAACUGAAACAUCUAAGUAGGCGGAGGAGAAGAAAACAAAAGUGAUUGCGUAAGUAGUGGCGAGCGAAAGCGCAUUAGCCCAAACCAGUGUUGUUACGGCAAUACUGGGGUUGUAGGACCACAAUAUUUCUUGUAAACCGAAUUAGAAUAACCUGGAAAGGUUAACCACAGAGGGUGAUAGUCCCGUAUAAGUAAGGAAUAUAAAGGAUAGUGGUAUCCUGAGUAGGGCGGGGCACGUGAAACCCUGUCUGAAUCUGGCGGGACCAUCCGCUAAGGCUAAAUACUCCUGAGAGACCGAUAGUGAACCAGUACUGUGAAGGAAAGGUGAAAAGAACCGUGAAUAACGGAGUGAAAUAGAACCUGAAACCAUACGCCUACAAGCGGUCGGAGCAGCAAAAGCUGUGACGGCGUGCCUUUUGCAUAAUGAGCCUACGAGUUAACGUUGCUGGCAAGGUUAAGCACUUCAGGUGCGGAUCCGUAGCGAAAGCGAGUCUGAAUAGGGCGCUUGAGUCAGUAAUGUUAGACGCGAAACCGUGUGAUCUACCCAUGGGCAGGAUGAAGCUGUGGUAACACAUAGUGGAGGUCCGAACCGGUUGACGUUGAAAAGUCUUCGGAUGACCUGUGGGUAGGGGGGCAAAUCAAACUCGGAAAUAGCUCGUACUCCCCGAAAUGCAUUUAGGUGCAGCGCAGUGGUAGAGUUAUAUAGAGGUAGAGCUACUGAUUGGAUGCGGGGGCUUCACCGCCUACCAAUUCCUGACAAACUCCGAAUGCUAUAUAAUAUACACAGCAGUGAGGGCUGGGGUGCUAAGGUCCCAGUCCGAGAGGGAAAGAACCCAGACCAUCAGCUAAGGUCCCCAAAUGUAUACUAAGUUGAUCAAACGCGGUUUGAUUGCAUCGACAGCUAGGAUGUUGGCUUGGAAGCAGCCAUUCAUUUAAAGAGUGCGUAACAGCUCACUAGUCGAGCGAUCGAGCAUGGAUAAUAAUCGGGCAUAAGUAUACUACCGAAGCUAUGGAUUUGACAAAAGUCAAGUGGUAGGGGAGCAUUCUAACAUCGUAGAAGGGAUUCCGUGAGGAUUUCUGGAGAGGUUAGAAAAGAAAAUGUAGGCAUAAGUAACGAUAAGGGGUGCGAGAAACACCCCCGCCGUAAAACUAAGGUUUCCGCAGCUAUGCUAAUCAGCUGCGUCAGAUGUGUAUAAGAGACAGGGUUAAUAUUCCCGUACUACUUAUAAUUGUGAUGGAGUGACGCAGUGGUGAAAGUACCGCGAACUGACGGAAUAGUUCGUUAAAGCACCUAGCUAUAGGCCCGGUAGGCAAAUCCGCUGGGACUGGUGAAAUGCGAUAGUACUCGGAUUCUUCGGAUGGAUAGUGUACCUAAAGGCUGCCAAGAAAACCUUCUAAACAUAGAUUAUAAGUACCCGUACCGUAAACCGACACAGGUAGUUGAGGAGAGUAUCCUAAGGCGCUCGAGAGAUUCAUGGCUAAGGAAUUAGGCAAAAUAGACCUGCUUCGGGAGAAAGGUCGCCAGCGCAAGCUGGCCGCAGUGAAAAGGUCCAGGCGACUGUUUAUCAAAAACACAGGGCUCUGCCAAAUCGUAAGAUGAAGUAUAGGGCCUGACAGUGCUGGAAGGUUAAGAGGAGAUGUUAUGAGCAAUCAGAAGCAUUGAAUUGAAGCCCCAGUAAACGGCGGCCGUAACUAUAACGGUCCUAAGGUAGCGAAAUUCCUUGUCGGGUAAGUUCCGACCUGCACGAAUGGUGUAACGAUCUGGACACUGUCUCAGCCAUGAGCUCGGUGAAAUUGUAGUAUCGGUGAAGAUGCCGAUUACCCGCAGUGGGACGAAAAGACCCUGUGCACCUUUACUAUAGCUUAGUAUUGACCUUGGAUAAGUGAYGUGUAGGAUAGGUGGGAGACUGUGAAAUGGCGUCGCUAGGCGUUGUGGAGUCAUUGUUGAAAUACCACCCUUUGCUUAUCUGAGGCCUAACUCCAUAUUGUGGAGGACAUUGCUUGGUGGGUAGUUUGACUGGGGUGGUCGCCUCCAAAAGAGUAACGGAGGCUUCUAAAGGUUCCCUCAGCACGCUUGGUAACCGUGCGUAGAGUGCAAUGGCAUAAGGGAGCUUGACUGAGAGACAUACAGGUCGAUCAGGUACGAAAGUAGAGCAUAGUGAUCCGGUGGUUCCGCAUGGAAGGGCCAUCGCUCAAAGGAUAAAAGGUACGCCGGGGAUAACAGGCUGAUCUCCCCCAAGAGCUCAUAUCGACGGGGGGGUUUGGCACCUCGAUGUCGGCUCGUCACAUCCUGGGGCUGGAGAAGGUCCCAAGGGUUGGGCUGUUCGCCCAUUAAAGUGGCACGCGAGCUGGGUUCAGAACGUCGUGAGACAGUUCGGUCUCUAUCUACUGUGGGCGUUAGAAAUUUGAGUGGAUCUGACUCUAGUACGAGAGGACCGAGUUGGACCAACCGCUGGUGUAUCUGUUGUUCCGCCAGGAGCACCGCAGAGUAGCUACGUUGGGAAGGGAUAAGCGCUGAAAGCAUAUAAGCGCGAAACCCACCACAAGAUGAGAUUUCUUUUAAGGGUCGUGGAAGAUGACCACGUUGAUAGGCUAUAGAUGUAAAGGCAGUAAUGUCACAGUCAAGUAGUACUAAUAACCCGUAAGCUUAUUGUA
rnacentral:rRNA from 1 species